AGUAACGCGUGAGGAACCUGCCUUCCAGAGGGGGACAACAGUUGGAAACGACUGCUAAUACCGCAUGAUACAUUUGAAUCGCAUGGUUUGAAUGUCAAAGAUUUAUCGCUGGAAGAUGGCCUCGCGUCUGAUUAGCUAGUUGGUGAGGUAACGGCCCACCAAGGCGACGACCAGUAGCCGGACUGAGAGGUUGGCCGGCCACAUUGGGACUGAGAUACGGCCCAGACUCCUACGGAAGGCAGCAG
rnacentral:rRNA from 1 species